rnacentral:rRNA from 1 species
AUUGAACGCUGGCGGCAGGCUUAACACAUGCAAGUCGAGCGGGGAAAGGUAGCUUGCUACCUGACCUAGCGGCGGACGGGUGAGUAAUGCUUAGGAAUCUGCCUAUUAGUGGGGGACAACAUCUCGAAAGGGAUGCUAAUACCGCAUACGUCCUACGGGAGAAAGCAGGGGACCUUCGGGCCUUGCGCUAAUAGAUGAGCCUAAGUCGGAUUAGCUAGUUGGUGGGGUAAAGGCCUACCAAGGCGACGAUCUGUAGCGGGUCUGAGAGGAUGAUCCGCCACACUGGGACUGAGACACGGCCCAGACUCCUACGGGAGGCAGCAGUGGGGAAUAUUGGACAAUGGGGGGAACCCUGAUCCAGCCGUGCCGCGUGUGUGAAGAAGGCCUUUUGGUUGUAAAGCACUUUAAGCGAGGAGGAGGCUACCGAGAUUAAUACUCUUGGAUAGUGGACGUUACUCGCAGAAUAAGCACCGGCUAACUCUGUGCCAGCCGCCGCAGUAAUAC